AUUGAACGCUGGCGGCAUGCCUUACACAUGCAAGUCGAACGGCAGCACGGGUGCUUGCACCUGGUGGCGAGUGGCGAACGGGUGAGUAAUACAUCGGAACGUACCUUAUCGUGGGGGAUAACGCAGCGAAAGCUGUGCUAAUACCGCAUACGCCCUGAGGGGGAAAGCGGGGGAUCGAAAGACCUCGCGCGAUUAGAGCGGCCGAUGCCUGAUUAGCUUGUUGGUGGGGUAAAAGCCCACCAAGGCGACGAUCAGUAGCUGGCCUGAGAGGACGAUCAGCCACACUGGGACUGGGACACGGCCCAGACUCCUACGGGAGGCAGCAGUGGGGAAUUUUGGACAAUGGGGGCAACCCUGAUCCAGCAAUGCCGCGUGAGUGAAGAAGGCCUUCGGGUUGUAAAGCUCUUUUGUCAGGGAAGAAACACCGGCUCUAACACAGUCCGGGAAUGACGGUACCUGAAGAAUAAGCACCGGCUAACUACGUGCCAGCAGCCGCGGUAA
rnacentral:rRNA from 1 species